rnacentral:rRNA from 1 species
GAUGAACGCUGGCGGCGUGCCUAAUACAUGCAAGUCGAACGGACGGGCGCGGCGCUUGCUUGUUUGAUGUUUGCGGCAGACGGGUGAGUAACGCGUGGAUCCCCUCCCUAUCAGACUGGGAUCAUUUCGGGACACCGGCUCUAAUCCCGGAUAAUAUUUUGAUCCGUGUUGUUCAAAGGAGAAAGACGGUCUUGCUGUCACUACUCGCGGCUUCCGCGCUGCAUUAUCUGGUUGUUAGGGUCACAGCUUACCAAGGCUACGAUGCAUAGCCGACCGGAGAGGGUGAUCGGCCACACUGGAGCGGAGACACGGUCCAGACUCCUACGGGAGGCAGCAGUAGGGAAUCGGCCGCAGUGGGCGAAAGCCUGACGGAGCAACGCGGCGUGAGUGGUGAAGGUCUUGGGAUCGUAAAGCUCUGUUAUUAGUGAAAAACAGAUGUGGAAGUAACCGUGCAGAUCGUGACGGUACCGAAUCAGAAAGCAACGGCUAACUACGUG